GAUGAAGAACGUAGCGAAAUGCGAUAAGUAAUGUGAAUUGCAGAAUUCAGUGAAUCAUCGAAUCUUUGAACGCACAUUGCGCCCGCUAGUAUUCUGGCGGGCAUGCCUGUCCGAGCGUCAUUUCAACCCUCAAGCCCCCGGGCUUGGUGUUGGGGAUCGGCGAGCCUCCGCGCCCGCCGUCCCCUAAAUCUAGUGGCGGUCUCGCUGUAGCUUCCUCUGCGUAGUAGCACACCUCGCACUGGGAAACAGCGCGGCCACGCCGUUAAACCCCCAACUUCUGAACGUUUGACCUCGGAUCAGGUAGGAAUACCCGCUGAACUUAAGCAUAUCAAUAAGCGGAGGC
rnacentral:misc_RNA from 1 species